ACCGGCGGACGGGUGCGUAACGCGUACACAACGUGCCUUAGAGCGGGGGAUAGCAUUGGGAAACUGGUGGUAAUCCCCCAUAGUGUUGAGGGCAUCAUUCAACUAAAGGUUACACUCUGAGAUCGGUGUGCGUCUGAUUAGCUAGUUGGCGGGGUAACGGCCCACCAAGGCGACGAUCAGUAGGGGGUGUGAGAGCAUGGCCCCCCACAUGGGUACUGAGACACGGACCCAACUCCUACGGGAGGCAGCAGUAAGGAAUAUUGGACAAUGGCCGGAAGGCUGAUCCAGCCAUGCCGCGUGAAGG
rnacentral:rRNA from 1 species